GUGUGUACACCCUGCCUGUUCUAGUCAUACCUUGCACAACAAUUAUUUCACCCAUGCGUGCUUUUCCUUUCCUUCUUGCCGCGGUUGUGUAGUCCCAGGGUAUCGCUUUGGACUGAAAUGGGAUUAUGUCUGACAUGGUGACUGAAAUGGGAUUACGUCUGACAUGGUGACUAAAAUGGGCACCUUUGGAGGUAACACAGUAACUUCUAUUGGUGCGGGUGACUUUGGAGUCCAAAAUUCUACCUCAAUCAGCUUUGGUAUCUUUGUAGGAAGCGUCUCGAACUCAAAUGGCACUGCUAUAUUCACCACGUUAUCCUCAGAGGGCUGGACUUGUAUAACAAUAGGAUUAAGGGUGACCGUCGGUUUCUUGCGCUCAUCCCCUUCAGAUAUCAAACCAAUUGACCCUUCGGGGUCCCAAUCAUCUUCUACCUCAAUCAUGU
rnacentral:lncRNA from 1 species